rnacentral:tRNA from 5 species
GGGCCCAUAGCUCAGCUGGGAGAGCGCUUGCAUGGCAUGCAAGAGGUCGUCGGUUCGAUCCCGAUUGGGUCCACCA